GUCACUCUCUCUGGGCAGAUUGAUCAAUAAAAAUGAGGUGGCAGUAAAAAAACUUCUUAAAAAAUAGAACAAGAAGAGAGAAUUCAUAAUUGAAGUGGAGGCUAUAGGUCAUGUUAGAGAUAAAUAUCUUGUGUGCCUGUUUGGAGGGAGUUAAACAGAGUAAUGGAUGCAAGUUGCCAUGGAACAAGGAACACUUACCUGGGAG